rnacentral:sRNA from 1 species
UUAUCAGCUCUGCAGACUGAAGUCCUCUGUUUAUCCGCAGGGCAGAAAAGGCAUGGGCAACGGUAGUGUUAAUUCCCUGUACACCACAAUGCCACCUCAGCUCUAACCUGGAAGGACCACCUGUAGGGAUGAGAGAAUGAUUCAGUCCCCCCUUGAUCAGUGCUUAAU